UGUGAAUGACCUUUGGAGUUUGUCAAUCCAUAUCGAAAAAGCCGCUUCAUUAUGAUGCUGAUUGGAGCUAUGAUCUGUGUCGUAAAUGAUGAACAGUUUGAGUUUGGCAACAGGGCAAGAGUCGAAGCUGUCUCAGAAGAUAUAUAUUCCUGAACACGCAUCUGGAACUCAUAAUACGAAUCUCUUAGAUCUUGAGGGAGAGCUGGUUCAACUAUAUGCUUAGAUAAGAUAACAUCCUCG
rnacentral:misc_RNA from 1 species